GUGAAUCAUCGAAUCUUUGAACGCACCUUGCGCCCCUUGGCAUUCCGAGGGGCACACCCGUUUGAGUGUCGUG
rnacentral:rRNA from 1 species